AUUGAACGCUGGCGGCAUGCCUUACACAUGCAAGUCGAACGGUAACAGGUCUUCGGAUGCUGACGAGUGGCGAACGGGUGAGUAAUACAUCGGAACGUGCCUAGUAGUGGGGGAUAACUACUCGAAAGAGUGGCUAAUACCGCAUGAGAUCUACGGAUGAAAGCAGGGGAUCGCAAGACCUUGUGCUACUAGAGCGGCCGAUGGCAGAUUAGGUAGUUGGUGGGAUAAAAGCUUACCAAGCCGACGAUCUGUAGCUGGUCUGAGAGGACGAUCAGCCAGACUGGGACUGGGACACGGCCCAGACGCCUACGGGAGGGAGCAGUGGGGAAUUUUGGACAAUGGGCGAAAGCCUGAUCCAGCAAUGCCGCGUGCAGGAUGAAGGCCUUCGGGUUGUAAACUGCUUUUGUACGGAACGAAAAGCCCCGGGUUAAUACCCUGGGGUCAUGACGGUACCGUAAGAAUAAGCACCGGCUAACUACGUGCCAGCCGCCGCCGUAA
rnacentral:rRNA from 1 species